rnacentral:rRNA from 1 species
UACGUAGGGGGGCAAGCGUUGUCCGGAAUUAUUGGGCGUAAAGAGCGUGUAGGCGGCUAGGUAGGUCCGUUGUGAAAACUCGAGGCUCAACCCCGGAAUUGCCUUUAAGACUGCAUCGCUCGAAUCCGGGAGAGGUGAGUGGAAUUCCGAGUGUAGAGGUGAAAUUCGUAGAUAUUCGGAAGAACACCCGUGGCGAAGGCGGUUCUCUGGGACGGUACUGACGCUGAGACGCGAAAGCGUGGGGAGCGAACAGG